rnacentral:rRNA from 1 species
AUUUAUACUUCGGUAUAAAUUUAGUGGCGGACGGGUGAGUAACGCGUGGGAACCUACCCCUGGGUGGGGAAUAACGACGGGAAACUGUUGCUAAUACCCCAUAUACCCUACAGUAAUAUGCUGCUCUAAUAGGGCGUUAUAUUUCUGUAGGGGAAAGAUUUAUCGCCAAGGGAUGGGCCCGCGUAAGAUUAGGUAGUUGGUGAGGUAAUGGCUCACCAAGCCUAUGCACUUUAGGUGGUUUGAGAGGAUUAUCAGCCAAACGGGGACGGAGACCCGGCCCGAACUCCUACGGGAGGCAGCAGUGGGGAAUAUUGGACAAUGGGGGCAACCCUGAUCCAGCGAUGCCGCGUGAGUGAAGAAGGCCUUCGGGUUGUAAAGCUCUUUCACCUACGACGAUGAUGACGGUAGUAGGAGAAGAAGCCCCGGCUAACUCCGUGCCAGCCGCCGCCGUAA